UACGAAGGGGGCUAGCGUUGUUCGGAUUUACUGGGCGUAAAGGGCGCGUAGGCGGCGCAACAAGUCACUUGUGAAAUCUCCGGGCUUAACCCGGAGCGGCCAAGUGAUACUGUUGUGCUAGAGUGCGGAAGGGGCUACUGGAAUUCUCGGUGUAGCGGUGAAAUGCGUAGAUAUCGUAAGGAAGACCAGUGGCGAAGGCGGGUCUCUGGACAGUUCCUGACGCUGAGGCACGAAGGCCAGGGGAGCAAACGGG
rnacentral:rRNA from 1 species